rnacentral:lncRNA from 1 species
CUUGAGAAUAAGUCAUUUCCCAAACAUACUAGGACACACUUUGGAAAGANNNNNNNNNNNNNNNNNNNNNNNNNNNNNNNNNNNNNNGAGUUCUUUUACAGGAAAACUUCGGGUAAAAGAGAUGGAAGCCUGGGUCCAAAGUGACAAAGGAAGCACAAAUGUGUUAAUGAUGCAGAAAAGUCACCGCCUGGGCUUUGAAUGCUGCUGACACAUCAAAGGGCCCUGUUUGCCACAAAGAAGAAGAUCAUUUCUGGAGAGGGACAAAACCUUUGGGAGAAUGCUGCUGAAGCCCUUGAUUCACUGGUUAAUUAUGCAGACCAGCCCUCUGUUCUGCUGCCCCAGAGGUCAUGAAUUUGAACAUGCUUCAUGCCACCUUCAGAACAAACAGGCAAAACAACCCCAAACCAGGCUGUCUUUGGGGACUUUGUCAAGAAAGCCACUUUUUGGGCAACAUCAGCAUAUGCAAUACAAAUAUUCUCAUCAAAUAUUCACUUAUUUAAGCCAUUAAAUGAGAGGAAAAUUCUUCAGUAAAUAAGUACUUAAGAUAGCUGUCUUAUUUCACCAGUAGGCUAUAGAAUACCCAAAGCCUACAUUAAACUGUAUGUUAAGAUAGUUGAGAGAAAACUAGAAUUAGUUUUCUAUGUUUUAAAUAAUUCUAUGAUAGAACACAAGAAGACUAUUAACCAAAAUGUUAUGUCUUUGCUUGGAGGAAAUUUGUUAUUUUUAAUUCUGCUUUUUUAUACAUUCCAAAUUUAUUACAGUAAACAUAGACUACUUAUCUAGUGAAAGAAUAUAAAUAUUUUUCUUAUUGUGACAGAACACCCUAUAUGCCAGCAACAUUUUCUAGAAAAAUACUCAACUUCUCAAAAUGACUCAUUCUCUGAGGUUAGGUAGCCAAGGCUUGAUUGUAAUUUAGCAUGAAAUAGAAAGAGAAACUCAAGAGACUACACAGGUAAGAGAGUUUCACUGAGCUCAUUUAAUUUUCCAUUAGUAAUGGAAUUUUUAAUCACCUAAGUCACCGGUUUGCAUGUCUGUUUUCACUAAGGAUACAGGCAGGUGGGAGAUGUGCAGUUAUUUUAUAAUUAUUUAUUUGUAUGUGUUGAGAAAAAGCCCUCAGAAAUUUUAGCAGAAACUGGUUGGUCAGACUUAAGAGGAGUUAUCAAUAUCCUUCUUCAUUAAAAAAAAAAAAAAAAAAAAAAGCUGAAUUGGCAACUUCACAAAUUUAUUCACUGUUAGAAAUAGUUUUUCUAGUCCAAUUCUCAAACCCACACCUGGCCUCCCUCCUUUUAGCAGGAGAUUUGCCAUUUUUUAUUUACAGAGUGAGUUAUUUGAACGCUCUCAAAUUUCCACCUUCUCAGUUCCAGUUUUUUUUAUUUUUUUGUUUUUUGUUUUUGUCUUUUUGUCUUUUUAGGGCCGCAGGUGCAGCAUAUGGAGGUUCCCAGGCUAGGGGUCUAAUCAGAGUUAUAGCUGCUGGCCUAUACCAGAGCCACAGCAAGGCCAGAUCCAAGCCGUGUCUUCGACCUACGCCACAGCUCAUGGCAACGCCAAUUCCUUAACCCACUGAGUGAGUGAGGCUAGGGAUCGAACCCAAAACCUCAUGGUUCCUAGUCAGGUUCCUUUCCACUGCGCCACAACGGGAACUCCCUCAGUUCCAGUUUUUAGGUCUCUUGGCUCUUUUUCUUUCCUGUUCUAGAGGAAAGAUGCUUCCCCAGCCUUCUCACCAGAGUUUGCAGACACCUCCUCUGCCCUCUCUUCAGAAACUUCUAUUCAGUGGACAUCCUAUUGCUUGGAUUUCAAUCUUUCCAUCUUUACUGACACUGAAUUAUUAUUGAAUGAUAUACUGAAUUAUUUUUCAGUUGAAAAGCAAGCCAAAACAUAACCAUAAAAAAUAAAACCUGGAGUUCCCAUCAUGGCACAGUGGUUAACGAGUCCGACUAGGAAACAUGAGGUUGCGGGUUCGGUCCCUGCCCUUGCUCAGUGGGUUGACAAUCAGGCAUUGCUGUGAGCUGUGGUGUAGGUUGCAGACGCAGCUCGGAUCCCACGUUGCUGUAGCUCACCCCUAGCCUGGGAAUCUCCAUGUGCAGCGGGAGCGGCCCAAGAGAUGGCAAAAAGACAAAGAAAAAUAGAAAGAAAGAAAGAAAACCCCAAAAUACAAAGUUCAAUAAAUUCAAAUAGAAAUAUGAAAUCCACAAAGAAAACCCCAAAAUACAAAGUUCAAUAAAUUCAAAUAGAAAUAUUUUUUAAAAUAUUAAUGUAAAACAAAGUAUAAACAAAGACUAAUAACAAACAAUAGUUAUUUGCAAAGUAUAUGAUUACCAGAGGAUAAAAUCCUCAUCAUUAUAUAACAUAACCAUAAUAUAUAAUCAAUAAUUUUUACAAAUCAGUAAGAACUGAGAAUACAUUUUACAUCACAUAUUUAAAUGCUGAAAUCUGAUUAUUUCAUAAAUCAUAUAGAAUUUAUGUCGUAUCUGUUGAUAUAUAUUCAUUAUUUAAGUAAUACUUUACUAUAGCUUAAGGCCAAGAGUUGUGGCUAUAGACAUUGACAGAUUAGUAGUUCGUUUUGAUUAUAAGAACUCUUGUCCUCCAACAACAAAUGAAGAACUUUUCUUAAUACGUGGUUUAGAGAUUGGCAAACCAUGAGCCUAUGGGCCAAAUUUAACCCACCACCCAUUUCUGUAAAGAAAGUUACUGAAAGAUAGGCAUGCCCAUUUAUUUACACACUGCCUAUAGCUGCUUUCAUGCUAUAGGGGCAAAACUGAGUAGUUGCAAUGGAGUUGUAUGGCCUGCAAAAUCUGAAAUAUUUACUCUCUGGCCCUUCACUGAAAAAAAGGUUUCCAACUGCUUGUUUAGAAUAUUUAGCUUAUUUAAAUCACAGAAAUAUUGGAGUUCCCUUUAUGGCACACCGGAAAUGAAUCCGACUAGUAACCAUGAGGUGGCAGGUUUGAUCCCUGGCCUUGCUCAGUGGACUGAGGAUCCAGCAUUGCCAUAAGCUGUGGUGCAGAUCACAGAUGUGGCUUGGAUCCCAUGCUGCUGUGGUGUAGGCUGGCAGCUGUAGGUCCAAUUCAACCCCUAGCCUGGGAACCUCACGUGCUGUGAGUGUGGCCUUAAAGAGAAAAAAAAAAAAAAAAAAAUCACAGAAAUAUUUGAUCCAUUUUCCAGGAUCAUUCCUUUUUAAUUCCAUACAAUUAUAUCCUACAAGGCAUAAGGAUUUGUUGUUGCUGUUUGGUUUUUUGGUGGGACCAGGGAUUGAACCCGUGCCACAGCAGUGACCUUAGCCACAGGAGUAAUAAUGCCAGAUCCUUAUCCUUAUCCUUCCCUUAGGUCACCAGGGAAGUCCAGUAAGUUUUUUUUUUCUUUUUUUUAAGAACAUAAAUUCCUAAAUAGAAAGGAUUAGGUUUUUAUACUUUAGGUGUAAUAUGUUCACAUUACAAUAAUUGAAUAAUAGAACAGUAAUCUUUCAAAAACAUAAGUUUUAAAACUGUUAAAGAAAAACUUCAGAAGAGUUACAAACAUCCAUGCAGAACUGAAUACAAUAAUCAUGAAAUUAUUUAAAUAGACUGAAUUCUGUAGUUUUGAGUGUUAUCUUGCUAAGGCACUACCAUAGAUCCUUUUCUGACAGUAUAACUGUCAGUAAAACAGAAA